GAUGAACGCUAGCGGCAGGCUUAAUACAUGCAAGUCGAGGGGCAGCAUGAAUGUAGCAAUACAUUUGAUGGCGACCGGCAAACGGGUGCGGGACACGUACACAACCUUCCUAUAAGUGGGGAAUAGCCCAGAGAAAUUUGGAUUAAUACCCCGUAACAUAAUGAUGUGGCACCACAUUAUUAUUAUAGCUUCGGCGCUUAUUGAUGGGUUUGCGACUGAUUAGAAAGUUGGCGGGGUAACGGCCCACCAAGUCUACGAUCAGUAGCUGAUGUGAGAGCAUGAUCAGCCACACGGGCACUGAGACACGGGCCCGACUCCUACGGGAGGCAGCAGUAAGGAAUAUUGGUCAAUGGACGCAAGUCUGAACCAGCCAUGCCGCGUGAAGGAUUAAGGUCCUCUGGAUUGUAAACUUCUUUUAUCUGGGACGAAAAAAGGCUAUUCUUAGUCACUUGACGGUACCAGAUGAAUAAGCACCGGCUAACUCCGUGCCAGCAGCCGCCGUAAAAC
rnacentral:rRNA from 1 species